UACGUAGGGUGCGAGCGUUGUCCGGAAUUAUUGGGCGUAAAGAGCUUGUAGGCGGUUUGUCGCGUCUGCUGUGAAAAUCCGGGGCUCAACCCCGGACUUGCAGUGGGUACGGGCAGACUAGAGUGUGGUAGGGGAGACUGGAAUUCCUGGUGUAGCGGUGGAAUGCGCAGAUAUCAGGAGGAACACCGGUGGGCGAAGGCGGUUCUC
rnacentral:rRNA from 1 species